GUGGGGAAUAUUGGGCAAUGGAGGGAACUCUGACCCAGCAACGCCGCGUGAGUGAAGAAGGUUUUCGGAUUGUAAAACUCUUUAAGCGGGGACGAAGAAAGUGACUGUACCCGCAGAAUAAGCAUCGGCUAACUACGUGCCAGCAGCCGCGGUAAUACGUAGGAUGCAAGCGUUAUCCGGAAUGACUGGGCGUAAAGGGUGCGUAGGUGGUUUGUCAAGUUGGCAGCGUAAUUCCGUGGCUUAACCGCGGAACUACUGCCAAAACUGAUAGGCUUGAGUGCGGCAGGGGUAUGUGGAAUUCCUAGUGUAGCGGUGGAAUGCGUAGAUAUUAGGAGGAACACCGGUGGCGAAAGCGACAUACUGGGCCGUAACUGACACUGAAGCACGAAAGCGUGGGGAGCAAACAGGAUUAGAAACCCUAGUAGUCC
rnacentral:rRNA from 1 species